AUUAGUAUUAGUUAUUUUCUUGAAAAUUAAAAAAUUUGGCGGUAUUUUAGUCUAUUCAGAGGAACUUGUCCUGUAAUUGAUAAUCCACGAUUUAUGAUACUUUUUUUAAUAAUUUAUAUAUCGUCGUAUUUGAGAAUUUUAAAAAAAUUGAAAUUUUCAUAAUUUUAAAUUUGAAAAUAUUUCAGAUCAAGAUGUAGUUUAUAAAAAAGAAGAGAUGAGUUACAUUAAAUUUAUUUAAGGAUUUGUAUUAGAAUAAUAUUUUGAAUUUGGAUUUGAUAGUAAUUUUAAUUAAUUAGUUAAUAUGAUUUAGCUCUAAAAUAUGUACACAUCGCCCG
rnacentral:rRNA from 1 species